GCAUCUCUUCAGCUUCUUCUCUUUCUCAUCCUCCGUUGACGUUUUUCUAUUGAACUCUGCAAUGAAUUUUCACUUCACAUUUAAAUCAAUAAGUUCCACGAACUCUCCGUCUCCCUUGCUUUACAAUCAAAGCGUGAUGUGUAUGAAAACCGAAGAACACCUCUAACCCUAUAAAUAGGAGAGGGCUGAGAUUGGAAUCGAGCUUCAUAAACACGCUCUAUGAGUUUUUCUUCACUCGAAAGCCUAGAGCCCUUCUUCGGAAAUAUCAUCCUCUGAUGCUACUGUUGCCCAAUCAGCCGUCAGCCACACAAACAUUGACGCUCUCCGACAUGCGACUUCCCAAUUCAUUGUUUUCCAUACAUAUUUUUUUUUGUCUAGGCAACACUCUUGCAUCCACAGGUAGCCUCUAUUUGACCUCUACACCAUCUACAAAAUUUUACUAUGACACCAACAUUCCUGUUGUUACGUUUCUUUCUACGAGUGUUUUUGAUUCGAGCUUAUUUUUGCAGGGACUUAAGGACGGAUCUUUUUUUCUUGAUAUGAUUAUCCCUUUAAAUCACCAAAGGCGGUGUUCAAGACUCGGAUCUACCUUUGCAAUAUUGAUGCUGCAGGGAACUUAAGUGUGGAGAUUCUAAGAGACAUUUGGAGCCCAGCUCUUAAAGUCACAAAAGUCUUGGAAGCCAUUAGAUCUAUCUUCUUAAAACCUGAGACAUACAAUCCAGCUUUACCAGUGAUUGCACUGCUCUACUUGUCGGAUAGAGAAAAGCAUGAGGAGGUAGCAAAAUAAUGGACACUGCGAUUUGCCAAGUGAACAAGAUUUGAGAAACUUUUGUAAUACGAGCAAAGACAACAGAUGAUUAAUGUCUUAUUGUAUCUACACCAAGUUAUUUGAUGAAUGAUCAAUUCAGCGGGACGAAUCGAGGAUUUGUGUUUCCCGAGUGCACAA